rnacentral:rRNA from 1 species
UACGUAGGGGGCUAGCGUUGUCCGGAUUUAUUGGGCGUAAAGAGCGUGUAGGCGGCCAGGUAGGUCUGCUGUGAAAACUCGAGGCUCAACCUCGAGACGUCGGCGGAAACCAUCUGGCUAGAGUCCGGAAGAGGAGAGUGGAAUUCCUGGUGUAGCGGUGAAAUGCGCAGAUAUCAGGAAGAACACCCGUGGCUAAGGCGGCUCUCUAGUACGUGACUGACGCUGAGGCGCGAAAGCGUGGGGAGCGAACAGG